ACUGCCUAGGGAUGAGCUCACGCCUGAUUAGCUUGUUGGUAAGGUAAUGGCUUACCAAGGCCACGAUCAGUAGCUGGUUUGAGAGAACGAUCAGCCACACUGGGACUGAGACACGGCCCAGACUCCUCCGGGAGGCAGCAGUGAGGAAUUUUCCGCAAUGGGCGAAAGCCUGACGGAGCAAUACCGCGUGAGGGAUGAAGGAUUUUGGUCUGUAAACCUCUUUUCUCAAGAAAGAAGUUCUGACGGUACUUGAGGAAUAAGCACCGGCUAACUCCGUGCCAGCAGCCGCGGUAAUACGGGGGGUGCAAGCGUUAUCCGGAUUUAUUGGGCGUAAAGCGCCUGUAGGUUGUUUAAUAAGUCUGUUGUUAAAGACUAGGGCUUAACCCUAGGAAAGCAAUGGAAACUACUAGACUUGAGUAUGAUAGGGGUAGAGGGAAUUUCUAGUGUAGCGGUGAAAUGCGUAGAUAUUCUGAGGAAUACCGGUGGCGAAGGCGGCCCCCUGGAUUGAUACUGACACUGAGGCGCGAAAGCGUGGGGAGCAAACAGGAUUAGAUACCCUGGUAGUCCACGCCGUAAACGAUGUCUACUAGCCGUUGGGAGGCUUGACCUCUUAGUGGCGAAGCUAACGCGAUAAGUAGACCGCCUGGGGAGUACGGUCGCAAGAUUAAAACUCAAAUGAAUUGACGGGGGCCCGCACAAGCGGUGGAGCAUGUGGUUUAAUUCGACAACGCGAAGAACCUUACCAAGGCUUGACAUACUACAGAUUUCUUUGAAAGAGGAAAGUGCCUUCGGGAAUGUAGAUACAGGUGGUGCAUGGCUGUCGUCAGCUCGUGUCGUGAGAUGUUGGGUUAAGUCCCGCAACGAGCGCAACCCUUAUUUUUAGUUGCUAAUUUAUUUUAGGUUUUCUAGAAAGACUGCCGGUGACAAACCGGAGGAAGGUGAGGAUGACGUCAAGUCAGCAUGCCCCUUAUGCCUUGGGCUACACACGUGCUACAAUGGUUAAGACAAAGAGUUGCGAGCUCGUGAGAGUCAGCUAAUCUCAUAAACUUAGCCUAAGUUCGGAUUGUAGGCUGCAACUCGCCUGCAUGAAGUCGGAAUCGCUAGUAAUCGCUGGUCAGCCAUACAGCGGUGAAUCCGUUCCCGGGCCUUGUACACACCGCCCGUCACACCAUGGGAGCUGGUCAUGCCCGAAACCGUUUGCUUAACCUUUUUGGAGAGCGGCGUCUAAGGUA
rnacentral:rRNA from 1 species